rnacentral:rRNA from 1 species
UACGUAGGUGGCAAGCGUUGUCCGGAUUUACUGGGCGUAAAGAGCGCGCAGGCGGUCGCUCAAGUCGCGUGUGAAAGCCCCCGGCUCAACUGGGGAGGGUCACGCGAUACUGAUCGACUGGAAGGCAGGAGAGGGUAGUGGAAUUCCCGGUGUAGUGGUGAAAUGCGUAGAUAUCGGGAGGAACACCAGUGGCGAAGGCGCUCUACUAGGCCGUGACUGACACUGAGAGACGUAGCUAGGGGGAGCGAAAUAGG